rnacentral:rRNA from 1 species
GACGAACGCUGGCGGCGUGCUUAACACAUGCAAGUCGAACGGAAAGGCCCUGCUUUUGUGGGGUGCUCGAGUGGCGAACGGGUGAGUAACACGUGAGUAACCUGCCCUUGACUUUGGGAUAACUUCAGGAAACUGGGGCUAAUACCGGAUAGGAGCUCCUGCUGCAUGGGGGGGGUUGGAAAGUUUCGGCGGUUGGGGAUGGACUCGCGGCUUAUCAGCUUGUUGGUGGGGUAGUGGCGUACCAAGGCUUUGACGGGUAGCCGGCCUGAGAGGGUGACCGGCCACAUUGGGACUAAGAUACGGCCCAGAAUCCUACGGGAGGCAGUAGUGGGGAAUAUUGCACAAUGGGCGGAAGCCUGAUGCAGCAACGCCGCGUGCGGGAUGACGGCCUUCGGGUUGUAAACCGCUUUCGCCUGUGACGAAGCGUGAGUGACGGUAAUGGGUAAAGAAGCACCGGCUAACUACGUG